GCUAAAAAUAUUGACAGGUCAUGGACCUCCUUUUCGAGAUAUUUGAGAUUUAAAAUAUGGCGGGAAAGGGCUGACUCUGACUUUUACCUUAUAUUUGCAUUGGUAUUAUUAGUUCUCAAAACAAAAGAAAGAAAAUUAAGAAUCUUCUAAAAUUUUGAUAAAUGACCUUUCAUGAGCUAUUAAGUCUUAUAUGAAAAAAAUAAAUGAGUGUUAUGGGGCAAAAUAUUUUACAUUGUAUUGUAUGGAAAAACACCAAGGAGUCCGAACAUUUGACACAAAUUCCAAAACCUCACCUAAGUACAUCCUUAAC
rnacentral:lncRNA from 1 species